rnacentral:tRNA from 1 species
GGGGAUUUAGCUCAGUGGUAGAGCACUUGCCUAGCAAGUGCGAGGCCCUGGGUUCAGUCCCCA